rnacentral:piRNA from 1 species
UAAGAUGGGAUAUCGUGAUUAAGGAAGACA